AAAUGCUCCGCUGGGUGCAGCUUGAUACGACCGCAGAGGUCGAACUCUGAACAGUUGGGGCAAGUAUGGACACAACAUUCAAGCUUGAUACAGCACUGAAUUUGGAUUGUGAUUAAAUAUUUGACACAGCAUAGGUUUCUGACACAGAAUGAAUGUGGUCUAAGAACUUAAAAAUUUUAAAUUGGACAUUCACCUAUUAUGGUCCAAUAUCCAAAAUCUAAAUACAUGGUUAGAUUCAGCAUAUCAAAGAACCCCAAGAAUUCAAUUUUUGAUGAAAUCAAACAAAGUUUAAUUUUGGACCCUUUUGACCUCAAUGUGGACAAAGUUGAUAACGGGGCCCAAAAAUCAAAAAUCUAAAUACAUGGUUAGAUUCAGCAUAUCAAAGAACCCCAUAUAUUCAAUUUUUGUUGAAAUCAAACAAAGUUUAAUUUUGGACCCCGAUUUGGACCAACUUGAAAACUGGGCCCAUAAUCAAAAAUCUAAAUACAUGUUUAGAUUCAGCAUAUCAAAGAACCCUAAAAAUUCAAUUUUUGUUAAAAUCAAACUAAGUUUAAUUUUGGACCCUUUUGACCUUAAUGUAGACCAAUUUGAAAACGGAACCAAAAAUUAAGAAUCUAAAUACACGGUUAGAUUCGGCAUAUCAAAGAACCCCAAUAAUUCAAUUUUUGAUGAAAUCAAACAAAGUUAAAUUUUGGACCCUUUGGACCUCAAUGUGGACCAAUUUAAAAACGGGGCCCAAAAUCCAAAAACUUAAUACACGGUUAGAUUCAGCAUAUUAAAGAACCCCAAGAAUUCAAGAAUAAAACCCCAUUGAAAUUGAUCAAGAAAUAAGCAAUUUAUACGAAGUAUCUUCUUUUGCACAAUACUGUGCAAUUGAAUAUUUCUUGCUAUUGUGCAAUACUGUACAUUUGACAAUUUCUUGCUAUUGCGCAAUAUUGUGCUAUUGGAUAUUUCUUGCUAUUGCGCAAUACAAGAUUUCUUGCAAUUGUGCAAUACUGUGCAAUUGAAAAUUUCUUGCUAUUGCACAAUACUUAUUAUAUAAUAAUUUACACAUCCUGUUUGGUGUGUAUCACCUACCAUAUCAUUAUUAUUUGCUUUUAAAUAUUAAUCAGAAAUAACCAACUUAAAAUGGAAAAUUUUAAAAGAAAAAAAAAAGGAAAAAAAGAAAAAAAAAGAAAAAAAAAAAAUCCCCCCCCCAAAUUUUUUGAACCCCCUUAUGAUUCAUCACCCCCAAACUCAAUCCCAGCCUUCCCUUUGUGGUAUGGUACCUUGCAGUACAAUUUUAGAGAUAUCCAUACACUUGAACACAAGUUAUUGUCUGGAAACUAGAAAAAUGCUUAUUUUUGGCCCCUUUUUGGCCCCCAAUUCCUAAACUUUUCGGGCAAUUACCCCCAAACUCAAUUCCAGCUUUCCCUUUGUGAUAUGGAACCUUGUAGUACAAUUUCAGAAAUAUCCAAACACUUACACACAAGUUAUUGUCAUGAAACUAGAAAAAUGCUUGUUUUUUGCCCCUUUUUUUGCCCCUAAUUCCUAAUAUUUUGA